GACGAACGCUGGCGGCGUGCUUAACACAUGCAAGUCGAACGGAAAGGCCUGCUUUCCCUUGUGGAUUGUGGGUACUCGAGUGGCGAACGGGUGAGUAACACGUGAGUGAUCUGCCCCCAACUUGGGUAUAAGCCUGGGAAACUGGGUCUAAUUCCCGAUAGGACUGCAGGGUGGUGCCUGUGGUGGAAAACGAUUUUCUAGUGGUUGGGGAUGAGCUCGCGGCCUAUCAGCUUGUUGGUGGGGUAAUGGCCUACCAAGGCGGCAACGGGUAGCCGGCCUGAGAGGGUGGACGGCCACAUUGGGACUGAGAUACGGCCCAGACUCCUACGGGAGGCAGCAGUGGGGAAUAUUGCACAAUGGGCGGAAGCCUGAUGCAGCGACGCCGCGUGGGGGAUGACGGCCUUCGGGUUGUAAACUCCUUUCGACCGCGAGGAAGCCACCUGGUUGGAAGGGUGGUGACGGUAGUGGUAGAAGAAGCACCGGCUAACUACGUG
rnacentral:rRNA from 1 species